rnacentral:rRNA from 1 species
AUUAAAUAUAAAAAAAGAAAAACAAUAAAUGCAUUUCGUGGAUGCCUUGGCAUAAAAAGCGUAGGACGUAUAUGAUUUACGAUAUGUUAAGAAACUUAUGGUAGCUAACAAAAGCAAUAACCCUUAACUUUCCUAUGGAAAACUAAAGAAUUUUUUCUCUAUAAAACCUAGCAGAGUGAAACAUCUAACGAGCUAGAGGAAAAAAAAUCAACCGAGAUUCCGUUAGUAGUGGCGAGCGAACGCGGAUAAUUAAUGGUUGCCGUUAUCUAGUUACCAAUUUGUUUUGGUAAUUAUUUGCGCAUUGAGUAAAUGAUGAUUAACAGGACGGAUCCAUUAUUUAAGGCAUUAUAUAUUUAGUAUGGAUUGUAAAAGUAAGAAUUAGUUGGAAUAACUAAACCAUAGAUGGUGAUAGUCCAGUAUGAACGUGCGAAGUCCUUUGGCUAGACAUUCGUGGAAAUAUGUGAAAAUCAUAUGCCUAAGUCAGUCUAACAGCCUGAUAUAGAAGAAUACGCACAACCUACUAAAUUUUAUAAAAAAAGUAAAACGGAACACGUGAAAUUCUGUUUGAAUAUAGGGGGCCCACCCUCUAAGCCUUAAUACUUUUUAUGACCGAUAGUGAACAAGUACCGUGAGGGAAAGGUGAAAAGAAGCCGAAUAGGCUAAGUGAAAUAGACCCUGAAACGGAAUGUAAUCAAGCAGUCGACGGUUUGUAGUUACUACAGACUUACGGCGUACCUUUUGCAUAAUGGGUCAGCAAGUGAAUAGUUUUAGCAAGCUUAAGUCGGAUACGAUGUAGGCGUAGCAACAGCAAGUUUUAAAAGAUGAUAAGUUAAAAUUAUUCGACCCGAAACCAAGUGAUCUAACCAUGAUCAGGUUGAAAAAAUGUUAGCGCAUUUUGGAGGACCGAACCCACGUCUGUGGCAAAAGACGGGGAUGAAUUGUGGUUAGGGGUGAAAGGCUAAUCAAACUUGGAGGUAGCUGGUUUUCUGCGAAAUCUAUUGAGGUAGAGUGUUCUAAAUUCAUAGAAGAGGUAGAGAACGCGAUGAAUGCGGGGGGUUUUUUAACUUUACUAAAUUCAACGAAACUCCGAAUAACUUCUUUCAACAAAUUAAUGAUUAUUAGAGCAAUCAGACGGUGGGUGCUAAGAUUCAUCGUCAAAAGGGCAACAACCCAGAUCGUAAGCUAAGGUCCUAAAGAAAAAUACUUAGUGAGGCAAGGAUGUGAAUUCGUUUUGACAACCAGUAGGUGGGCUUGGAAGCAGCCAUCCUUUAAAGAAAGCGUAACAGCUCACUGGUCGAACUAGCGAAUUUGCGCCGCAAAUGUAGAGGGACUUAAGAUUUUCACCGAAGCUGCGAAUUUUAAUAAUAAGUGGUAGCAGAACGUUUUGUACUGUCGUUGAAGUACUAUUGUAAAAUAGUAUGCAGACAUCAAAAGUGAGAAUGCUGACAUGAGUAACGUAAAACAAUGUGAGAAACAUUGUCGCCGAAACUUCAAGGGUUUCUACGAAAGGGUUAUCCGCGUAGAUACAGGCGGUCCCUAAGAACUAAGCAAGUGCAAUGUUUGAUGGGUAAUAAGUACCAAUCUUAUACUACCAAAAGUGACAGAAAAAGAACAAUUUAUAUAUAUUUAUUGGAUUAUAUUAUAGAGUGUUAUUUUCUCAGGAAAAAGCUUUUGGAUAAAAAUACCGUACCGUAAACCGACACUGGUGAAGAAGUAGAGAAUACUAAGGCGUUUGAGAGAACCAUGUUGAAGGAACUCGGCAAAUUUACUCCGUAACUUCGGGAUAAGGAGGCUUAAAUUGAAAAAUUUAAGGAUACAGAAGAGGGGGUAGCGACUGUUUAAUAAAAACACAAGACUCUGCAAAAUCGAAAGAUGACGUAUAGGGUCUGACGCCUGCCCGGUGCUGAAAGGUAGAAAAGAAGAUGUGCAAGCAAAUUCUUCAAGCCCCAGUAAACGGCGGCCGUAACUAUGACGGUCCUAAGGUAGCGAAAUUCCUUGUCGGGUAAUUUCCGACGUGCAUGAAUGGCGUAACGACUUCCCUACUGUCUCCAACAUGGACUCAGUGAAAUUGAAAUCUCUGUGAAAAUGCAGAGUAUGAACGGCUGGACGGAAAGACCCUGUGCACCUUUACUGCAACUUUCCAAUGUCAACUUUUUUGAACGUGUGUAGAAUAACCGUGAUGCUUAUGAUUCCUUGACGCUAGUCAAUUGGAUUAUCUUUAAGGAAACUUAAAGAUAUGAGGAGGCGACAGUGAAAUAACGGUCAUGUUUAACUGAGGGGACUAACUUUUUAUUAAGGAAAUUGGAUGGUGGGUAGUUUGACUGGGGCGGUCGCCUUCUAAAGAGUAACGAAGGCGUGCAAAGGUAAGUUCAAGUUGGUCAGAAAUCAACUGAAGAGUAGAAUGGCAUAAGCUUACUUGACUGUAAGACAUACACGUCGAGCAGGGUUGUUAAAAGUAAUCCUUUUAAUGACGGCCAUACUGAUCCGGUGCUGCUGUGUGGAAAGGGCAUCGAUCAUCGGAUAAAAGGUACGCCAGGGAUAACAGGCUGAUGACUCCCAAGAGUCCCUAUCGACGGAGUCGUUUGGCACCUCGAUGUCGGCUCAUCACAUCCUGGGGCUGGAAAAGGUCCCAAGGGUUCGGCUGUUCGCCGAUUAAAGUGGUACGUGAGCUGGGUUUAGAACGUCGUGAGACAGUUCGGUCCCUAUCUACCGUUCAUUUCGAGAAUUGAAAGGAGCUGACCUUAGUACGAGAGGACCGGGAAAGAGAUCUCCAUUGUGUACCCAUUGUCGCGCCAGCGGCAACGUGGGGUAGCUACAGAUCGACGGAAUAACUGCUGAAAGCAUAUAAGCAGGAAUUCGACCUUAAUACUUAUUCUCUUUACGUAUCGUAGAAGACUACUACGUUAAUAGGCAAGGUGUGUACGUUUGGCAACAAACUUAGCUAACUUGUACUAAUUUUACAAUAUUUUUCUUUUUAU